GACGAACGCUGGCGGCGUGCCUAAUACAUGCAAGUAGAACGCUGAAGGAGGAGCUUGCUUCUCUGGAUGAGUUGCGAACGGGUGAGUAACGCGUAGGUAACCUGCCUGGUAGCGGGGGAUAACUAUUGGAAACGAUAGCUAAUACCGCAUAAGAGUAGAUGUUGCAUGACAUUUGCUUAAAAGGUGCAAUUGCAUCACUACCAGAUGGACCUGCGUUGUAUUAGCUAGUUGGUGGGGUAACGGCUUACCAAGGCGACGAUACAUAGCCGACCUGAGAGGGGGGUCGGCCACACUGGGACUGAGACACGGCCCAGACUCCUACGGGAGGCAGCAGUAGGGAAUCUUCGGCAAUGGACGGAAGUCUGACCGGGCAACGCCGCGUGAGUGAAGAAGGUUUUCGGAUCGUAAAGCUCUGUUGUAAGAGAAGAACGAGUGUGAGAGUGGAAAGUUCACACUGUGACGGUAUCUUACCAGAAAGGGACGGCUAACUACGUG
rnacentral:rRNA from 1 species